rnacentral:lncRNA from 1 species
UCCUGAAAGUAGUGGAUGAGUAGUUGGUCAUUAUCGGUUUGAGUCGACAUCUUCUUGGCAUACAUGACCAGGUGGCUGAGAUUGAAAGUAGUGGAUGAGUAGUUGGUCAUUAUCGGUUUGAGUCGACAUCUUCUUGGCAUACAUGACCAGGUGGCUGAGAGGACAAGUAUUUCCUUUGUACUUUUCAAAAUCAGGGACCUUGAAUUUCAAAGGGAUUUUCACAUUUGGAACCAAGCAGAGUUCGGCAGCAG